GAUGAACGCUGGCGGCGUGCCUAAUACAUGCAAGUAGAACGCUGAAGGAAGGAGCUUGCUCUUUCCGGAUGAGUUGCGAACGGGUGAGUAACGCGUAGGUAACCUGCCUGGUAGCGGGGGAUAACUAUUGGAAACGAUAGCUAAUACCGCAUAACAGUAGAUGUUGCAUGAUAUCUACUUAAAAGGUGCAAUUGCACCACUACCAGAUGGACCUGCGUUGUAUUAGCUAGUUGGUGAGGUAACGGCUCACCAAGGCGACGAUACAUAGCCGACCUGAGAGGGUGGUCGGCCACACUGGGACUGAGACCCGGCCCAGACUCCUACGGGAGGCAGCAGUAGGGAAUCUUCGGCAAGGGACGGAAGUCUGACCGAGCAACGCCGCGUGAGUAAAGAAGGUUUUCGGAUCGUAAAGCUCUGUUGUAAGAGAAGAACGAGUGUGAGAGUGGAAAGUUCACACUGUGACGGUAUCUUACCAGAAAGGGACGGCUAACUACGUG
rnacentral:rRNA from 1 species